rnacentral:rRNA from 1 species
GACGAACGCUGGCGGCGUGCUUAACACAUGCAAGUCGAGCGAUGAAGCUUCUUCGGAAGUGGAUUAGCGGCGGACGGGUGAGUAACACGUGGGUAACCUGCCUCAUAGAGGGGAAUAGCCUUCCGAAAGGAAGAUUAAUACCGCAUAAGAUUGUAAUAUCGCAUGAUAUAGCAAUUAAAGGAGCAAUCCGCUAUGAGAUGGACCCGCGUCGCAUUAGCUAGUUGGUGAGGUAACGGCUCACCAAGGCGACGAUGCGUAGCCGACCUGAGAGGGUGAUCGGCCACAUUGGGACUGAGACACGGCCCAGAAUCCUACGGGAGGCAGCAGUGGGGAAUAUUGCACAAUGGGGGAAACCCUGAUGCAGCAACGCCGCGUGAGUGAUGACGGUCUUCGGAUUGUAAGGCUCUGUCUUUAGGGACGAUAAUGACGGUACCUAAGGAGGAAGCCACGGCUAACUACGUGCCAGCAGCCGCCGUAA